rnacentral:rRNA from 1 species
GCUACGGGUGGCUGCAGUGGGGAAUAUUGGGCAAUGGUCGCAAGCCUGACCCAGCAACGCCGCGUGAAGGAAGAAGGCCCUCAGUUUGUAAACUUCUUUUAUUCGGGACGAAACAAAUGACGGUACCGCAUGAAUAAGCCACGCCUAACUACGUGCCAGCAGCCGCGGUAAUACGUAGGUGGCGAGCGUACUCAGGAUUUACUGGGUGUAAAGGGCGUGUAGGCGGGUCAGCAAGUCAGCCGUGAAAUUCCAGGGCUCAAGCCUGGAACUUCGUUUGAAACUGGUCUUCUUGAGUGAUGGAGAGGCAGGCGGAAUGCCGGGUGGAGCGGUGAAAUGCGUAGAUAUACGGAGGAACACCAGUGGCGAAGGCGGCCUGCUGGA